rnacentral:rRNA from 1 species
AGCGAACGCUGGCGGCAGGCCUAACACAUGCAAGUCGAACGAACUCUUCGGAGUUAGUGGCGGACGGGUGAGUAACACGUGGGAACGUGCCUUUAGGUUCGGAAUACCUCAGGGAAACUUGUGCUAAUACCGAAUGUGCCCUUCGGGGGAAAGAUUUAUCGCCUUUAGAGCGGCCCGCGUCUGAUUAGCUAGUUGGUGAGGUAAAGGCUCACCCAGGCGACGAUCAGUAACUGGUUUGAGAGGAUGCUCAGCCACAUUGGGACUGAGACACGGCCCGAGCUCCUACGGGAGGCGGCAGUAGGGAAUCUUGCGCAAUGGGCGAAAGCCUGGCACAGCCAUGCCGCGUGAAUGAUGAAGGUCUGAGGAGAGUAAAAGUCUUUCAACGGGGACGAUAAUGACGGUACCCGGAGAAGAAGCCCCGGCUAACUUCGUG